CAAGCUCAGGAAGUUCAUUCUGAACUUAGGAAAUGGCUCCAUGCAAACACCAGUCCUGAGGUUGCUGAAACAACCCGGAUAAUCUAUGGAGGAUCUGUAAAUGGUGCAAACUGCAAGGAAUUGGCAGCUCAGCCUGAUGUUGAUGGAUUUUUGGUGGGUGGAGCUUCUCUUAAGCCGGAGUUCAUUGACAUUAUCAAGUCUGCCGAGGUGAAGAAAAGUGCCUGAAGCUUGCUGAGUGUGGCAAACUUUUGUUCUAUUUGACAUGGUUUAUAAGACUCUGGUUUUCAGCAGAGGAAAAGUGCCUGAGCUUGUUUCGGACAUAGUUCCUGAGCCUCUGAUUUUGGAAAUACUUUUUUGAGGGAAUAAGUUAAUGCUUUUGUAUUUCCAUAAGCACUUCGAACUGGAUUUUAUCUGUCAAUAAAUCAUUCUAUUUCCCUCACCAUGUGUAGUUUAUUCUUGGCUGCCUGUGCUUCUCUCUCUUUGUUUAUAUUAUCUCCUGGAUUCAUCGA